UGUGAGUACAACUCUGUGCGGUGGAUCACUCGGCUCGUGUGUCGAUGAAGAGCGCAGCCAACUGUGUGAAUUAAUGCGAACUGCAUACUGCUUUGAG
rnacentral:rRNA from 1 species